UAACGACAGUUAACCGAAUUUCUCAAGUGUCAUGUAAAUGCACUUACUGUUAAGUUUAAGUUUCACUCGCGACGCGCCUUCAAUUAAUUGGAGGACUGUGGGCGCCGAGCGGAGUCAGCGGCUUCACGGUUUCUCCUCCUCCCAGCUGACUGGAGAAAUGAAUAAGUGAGCGAGGCGAUGUCCCGCCCUCCAGAGCCAUAUACCUCACCGUGAUUGGUUCAUUCAGCUCCGCACACGACAAGUGUCAUUUAUAUCAAUCUUGCGGGCCGCACUGACAUUAAUCUUUCUGAUCUAAAAGAACGUCAUCCAGACUUGUACAAAGAAUUCAAGUAUCAGCCAGAUGAGGACUUCAACGAGGAGGACAGACCAGAGCCAAGCCAGCAGCAUCAUCAUACCCAUCCAACAAUAAAGGAUGCUUUUCAGAAGUGCACAAAAUAUGACCCUGACUUCACAUGAAGCAAAGAAAUUAGAUUGGGAAGUUCCUCUAUUCAUA